UCUUCUUGGAGGAUAACGGUGAUGUCGACGUGGUUUAUUACCACGAGAGCACGAGACCGCAGCUGGAGGACGUGACCACGGUGGGAGAAUACGACCACGCUCUUGAAUAUUAUCUGUCGAUGGGAUGCUGUGGCGAGUCCACGGUGGAAGGCAAGACCACAGUGGAGGCAGAGGGUGUGAAGGGCAUAUUUUUUGAGGGGAAAAUUGCAAGUUCAAAUUCGGAUUUGUAGUAAUCUGAGAGCAACUUUGAACCAGACUUGAUGGUGCAGAUUCAGUUUUUGCAGCCAGCAAUGCCGACUGCAAUGGGUUUUUUGAGGUUCUAAUAGGAUUGAAUAAACCCUCUGGAUGCAAUUCGUUAAAAUUCUGAUAAUGGUAAUUAUAUUCA